UGCACGGCGGUACUCUGCGGAGCACCGACUACUUGGUAGAGCUGGGCAGUACACAUAGCUUGGUCAUUUUCAUCUGGACACUAGCACCACCCAGUCCCUCCCUCUGGGCAGUGAGGAUUCUCUGACAUAAUGCAGCAUUGAUGAGCUGUUCUACAGUGACUGGAACAUUCCACCUGCCAGGCCAGAAAAGCCCUAAGAGCAACAGAAUGCCUAGAAGACCACCCGCCAUAUGUCCCCUCCCCAAGCCAGGACCACACGCUG